rnacentral:rRNA from 1 species
AUUGAACGCUGGCGGCAGGCCUAAUACAUGCAAGUCGAGCGGACGAAUGAAGAUUUCGCUUCUUUUCAGUGACGGGCGGGUGAGUGAUUCCUAGGAAGCUAACUGGCAUAUAGGGCUAACGUAACGACAGGGGACCUAAUACAACGCCGGUUAAGAGGUAGAAAGUGAGGGUUCUACAGACAUAAAUGUAUCAGCUGACCCUAAUACAGGGACCCUGGCCGUAUUAGCUAGGUGGUAAGGUAACGGCUUACCAAGGCUACGAUACGUAGCCGACCUGAGAGGGUGAUCGGCCACACUGGAACUGAGACACGGUCCAGACUCCUACGGGAGGCAGCAGUAGGGAAUCUUCGGCAAUGGGCGAAAGCCUGACGGAGCAACGCCGCGUGAGUGAUGAAGGUCUUCGGAUCGUAAAACUCUGUUAUUAGGGAAGAACAAAUGUGUAAGUAACUGUGCACGUCUUGACGGUACCUAAUCAGAAAGCAACGGCUAACUACGUG